rnacentral:tRNA from 1 species
UUAAGUGUAAUCUGAGACUUCUAAUCUUAAAAAAGCGAUUUACGCUACACUUAAU